GUUAAACUUUCUUUUAUUUGGAAGAAACCACUUUUCUAAGGUGGUUGACGGUACCAGAUGAAUAAGCACCGGCUAACUCCGUGC
rnacentral:rRNA from 1 species